rnacentral:lncRNA from 1 species
UGCCAUGGCAGUGCUGGGACAAGGAGCAGUAAGUUGUAAUUAAGCGGCAAGCUAGGAGAAAGGGGCUUUUAUGUCCUUGUGUGGGGGUGGACAGGAGAAAAAGCUCCUGGCACUGCAGUCAAGGUGCAAAGAGGGACACGGGAAAGAGCAGGUUGGUGGCUGGGGCAGGUGCUCGUCAUAACCAUCACUGAAAACUGUGUGUGCUGAGAACCUGGGUUCAAUUUCUAGUACCUACAUCCAUCCAGAACUGCAGCUCUAACUCCAAGGAUCUGACUCCCUCGUCUCUUCUCCCAGGGCAUCAGUCUCCACGCCUUCCAGGAAUGAUGGAGGUGCUGUGUCUGUUGAGUGAGAAGUGGUGCUAAGGCCUGAGAGAGCCAUGAGUGGAGCCAAGAUGAACGACUCGCUCGGUGACUCGCCUGCCUGUUCUUUUUUGGAGGCUCUUGCAGAGAUGGGGAUGAGUCACACUGGUCGUGGGAGGAGAAGAAAAAGUGUUUUUCAAGUCGGCACAAUGAAGAUUGCAUGAUGCAAGGGAACAGCCCUUGCAUCAUGCCACGGAAGUGCCCAGUAGUAGCUGGGAAAGUCCCUGCUGUCCCAGCCAGCAGAUGUGUUUGGAAGAUGACUGCACUCAGAGAUCUGAUAUCACAACAGGAAGGUUGUUCUCAUGAGACCCAGUUGGGGAUUUGGAGAGAAAGUUCCCUUGGAUAAGUGAUUGUCAUACAAGAAAGCAUGGGUUGAGCUUGGUCACCUCAUGAGCUGUGCUAUAGUCACCUUUUGGGCCGUGUCAUGGCUCAAACACAACUGCUUACUUUGGACGUCUGUAUUGUACUCCAGCGCUCCUGAGAAAGUGGCUGGCUUACCAAGGGGACCUUCCCCCAGUAGUCUUCCUUUCCAGGCACACACAGCACUCAGAGCCAGCCAGUGAGGGAUUCAAAGGCCUACGGGGGAAACUUGGCAGACAUGGGACCUCAGCUAACUCCCAUAAUCUCCCUGAGGAUCAGAUUUUCCAAUUUAGUGGACUACAUAAGGCUCCCAGAUGUCACUCACUGAGGAGUUACAGAUGCUGGACACACCUCUGCAGCCUGUCAGUGUUUGGAUUUCAAAUGCUGGUCAUGUCCCAGUGGCUCUUUCAGACAUCACACUGGCUACUAGAUUUUAAAAUUAUUUUUAAACUCAAGUCAGAAACUCAAAUCAUGAUUUUUUGCAAUCAAAUAUUUUAGCCCACUAUAAUCCAA